rnacentral:misc_RNA from 1 species
CCAAUCUUGUGGUGUCCACAGAACUAACAACACCAGACUGCAUCGGAGCAUGCUAUGGCGACAAAGUGGAUACCUUUGACCGUAACUGCCGCAGAGGUGACACCUCUCCCCAGACCAACAAUUCUGGCCCACACAAGCAGCAGACGCACCGACGACCGAAGAAGCAC